ensembl:lncRNA
GUAAAAAUCUUGAUUUUUGUUUUGCUAUUUUAUGGGUGGAGUGGAUGCCCUGGGGACUACGCUUAUGGGACACACACAGUUUGAUGAUAGAAGGUCAUUAUCCAUCAGUGGGCAUCAAGCAAUGAUGUGUUGGCCAGAGGCACGGUGAAGCUUCCUUCUCUGUUCCUCCCCUUCCACACCCAUAAGAGAUUGCGGGAUGGUCACAGGCAAAGACUGAGAUGUUGGCCAGUUGCACACAUGGUUGCUCCACUAAGGAGCACGUUUCCGCAAAGAAAUGUGGUCUGGUUGCACUCUUCACCUUGACCUCUACAACCCCUUAUGUUCCUUUGGUUGGAAUUAUGAUCAGUGCUUCCAGACACCUCCCUCCUUUUCUCCCUGUCCCCACAGAGACUGACAGACUGUUACGUACAGUGUUUAUGUAAGCGUAGAUGGGAUUGCUGGAACAUGUUGGGAAGCAAGACUGGUUUUGCCUCAGCAAGUAGGGAUGUUUGUUGUGAGACCGUGGAAAAAACACAUGCAGUUUGGAAAACGACAUUACAUCAGGUGCAAGAAAGGUGACUACCUCUAACGUGGUAGUGAAGGAAGGGAGAGGUAUAAGACCUAUAUCCUGAGAUGAGUGGAGUAUUGCUAGGGUAGGAAUGCCAGUACCUCCUAUAAGAACUGGGUUGCAAGCAGCUCAAGGCCUAACGUGUGGAAGGCGUUGGAUUCUCAGACACGAGUCAGAUACUUGGAGAGAUGCAUUUCUUGGAAUUCACAGCCAAAAGAUUUAGUGGUAUUUGAAAGCAUACGUACAUACAGUGGAAGUAUUUACAACUGUGCUAUCAAAGACAAGAGCAUAAAAAAGCAAUUAGUCCUAUUGUAGGACAUUCCAGAGCAGUCUCAUCUGCCAGUCACUGAGCCUCAGUGGGAGGGGAGGAGUAGGAAGGGAGUACUGUCAGCAGGUGUCUUCUGUUCCAUAAAAGUUGAUCUGUGAGGUGUAUGAGUUUUCUUCACUUUUUUUUUUUCACCCAGUCUGUCCAUCUUCCUAAAAUGCUGUACGGCCAAUUUUCCCUCUGGGCUGUUGCUGUCAGACUGCAUCUCAAUUCUGAGAACUGCUCCAGUCCUUCAGUCUGAUGUUGAUUUGUUGCUUCACCCAUGCUGUGGGUCUUACAGUAUGUAGCAACAGAAGGAUUGGGAGGUGGAG